UCCUACGGGAGGCAGCAGUGGGGAAUAUUGGACAAUGGGGGCAACCCUGAUCCAGCCAUGCCGCGUGUGUGAAGAAGGCCCUCGGGUUGUAAAGCACUUUCAGCGAGGAAGAACGCCUAGCGGUUAAUACCCGCUAGGAAAGACAUCACUCGCAGAAGAAGCACCGGCUAACUCCGUGCCAGCAGCCGCGGUAAUACGGAGGGUGCAAGCGUUAAUCGGAAUUACUGGGCGUAAAGCGCGCGUAGGUGGCUUGAUAAGCCGGUUGUGAAAGCCCCGGGCUCAACCUGGGAACGGCAUCCGGAACUGUCAAGCUAGAGUGCAGGAGAGGAAGGUAGAAUUCCCGGUGUAGCGGUGAAAUGCGUAGAGAUCGGGAGGAAUACCAGUGGCGAAGGCGGCCUUCUGGACUGACACUGACACUGAGGUGCGAAAGCGUGGGUAGCAAACAGGAUUAGAUACCCUGGUAGUCCACGCCGUAAACGAUGUCGACCAGCCGUUGGGUGCCUAGCGCACUUUGUGGCGAAGUUAACGCGAUAAGUCGACCGCCCGGGGAGUACGGCCGCAAGGUUAAAACUCAGAUGAAUUGACGG
rnacentral:rRNA from 1 species